rnacentral:rRNA from 1 species
UACGUAGGGCGCAAGCGUUAUCCGGAAUUAUUGGGCGUAAAGAGCUCGUAGGCGGUUUGUUGCGUCGGCUGUGAAAUCCCGAGGCUCAACCUCGGGUCUGCAGUCGAUACGAGCAAACUAGAGUGUUGCAGGGGAGACUGGAAUUCCUGGUGUAGCGGUGAAAUGCGCAGAUAUCAGGAGGAACACCAGUGGCGAAGGCGCCACUCUGGGCCGUAACUGACGCUGAGGAGCGAAAGCGUGGGUAGCAAACAGG